CAACAAUAAUAAAACAAACAGUUUUAAAAAUAAGCAAAAGGCGGCCCGGUAUGUAAUAACUGCAAACAGCAGCCUUCCUGGUAGUGUAUGCAGCCUGUUGCUUGUAUGAGUUGCCCUAAGGGACCUUGGAGACAGCC